rnacentral:rRNA from 1 species
AACGAACGCUGGCGGCAUGCCUAACACAUGCAAGUCGAACGAGACCUUCGGGUCUAGUGGCGCACGGGUGCGUAACGCGUGGGAACCUGCCCUUAGGUUCGGAAUAACUCCCCGAAAGGGGUGCUAAUACCGGAUAAUGUCUUCGGACCAAAGAUUUAUCGCCUUUGGAUGGGCCCGCGUUGGAUUAGCUAGUUGGUAGGGUAAAAGCCUACCAAGGCGACGAUCCAUAGCUGGUCUGAGAGGAUGAUCAGCCACACUGGGACUGAGACACGGCCCAGACUCCUACGGGAGGCAGCAGUGGGGAAUAUUGGACUAUGGGCGAAAGCCUGAUCCAGCAAUGCCGCGUGAGUGAUGAAGGCCUUAGGGUUGUAAAGCUCUUUUACCCGGGAUGAUAAUGACGGUACCGGGAGAAUAAGCUCCGGCUAACUCCGUG